CUAAUCCGGUUCCUUGGGGCCUCUGUACACCAAAAAACUGCAGUGAACGAGACCUAACCCUUGCUCUACGAUUCAUCUUCAAAUUUAUUCCACAGGUCAGCUUGAAGCCUACUCGAAUUGGAGCGAAGGAGAUAUCUGUGGUCUGCGACAAAAAGUCUGAGUACACAACGGGUGUCAUCAUCACUUUGGCAAAUUGUGGUUACAUCUUGUCCCUGUGCCUUCUGGGUACAAUCGUCGACUGCAGCCUAAGCUUUUUAGAGUCACAUUCUUCAAAUGUCAACAAGAAUGAUGCUAUUUCUUUAGUUGAGAGUGUCCAUGCCGUUACAGAUAAAGAUGAAAUUCCUAAUGCUCAAGAGGGUAAUCACGUGACCGAGAACACUUACCUUCUGGGACAUUCCCCUGAAGCGAAUUCA